GACGAACGCUGGCGGCGGGCUUAACACAUGCAAGUCGAACGGGAAACUCCAGCUUGCUGGAGUGGAAAGUGGCAAACGGGUGCGUAACGCGUAGGCAACCUGCCCUUUAGUGGGGAAUAACCUCGGGAAACCGUGGCUAAUACCGCAUACAGCCCCGGAUCCUCCUGGAUCCGGGAUGAAAGCCUUCGGGCGCUAGAGGAUGGGCCUGCGUCGGAUUAGGUUGUUGGUGAGGUAACGGCUCACCAAGCCUACGAUCCGUAGCUGGUCUGAGAGGAUGAUCAGCCACACUGGCACUGAGACACGGGCCAGACUCCUACGGGAGGCAGCAGUGAGGAAUAUUGCGCAAUGGGCGAAAGCCUGACGCAGCCACGCCGCGUGGAGGAUGACACCCUUAUGGGGCGUAAACUCCUUUUAUGUGAGAAGAAAUCCUGAUUCGGUCAGGCCUGACGGUAUCACAUGAAUAAGCAUCGGCUAACUCCGUG
rnacentral:rRNA from 1 species